rnacentral:snRNA from 1 species
UCAUGUCUCUGCAUGGGUAGUGGAAAACGAAGUUUUCAGAAGAGUAGUAUGGCCACUGUGCAAGGAUUACUCUCAAACUGGUGAAGCGUUCCAUAUUUUU